rnacentral:misc_RNA from 1 species
AACGCACAUUGCGCCCCCGGGCAAUCCCGGGGGCACACCUGUUCGAGCGUCAUCGCACACCUCAAGCGUAGCUUGGUGUUGGGCCGUACGUCCCCCCUUCGGGUGGGACGCGCCCGAAAGCGAUGGGCGACGGUGCCUGGCUUCGAGCGUGAUAGAGGUCUCCCACGAACCCAUCGCUUUGGAAGUCCAGGUCCCGACAGCCUUAAAAGCCUCCGUCUCCACGGUUUGGCCUCGGAUCAGGUGGGGUUACCCGCUGAACUUAA